rnacentral:rRNA from 1 species
UACGUAGGGAGCAAGCGUUGUCCGGAAUCAUUGGGCGUAAAGCGCGCGUAGGUGGCUUCGUAAGUCCGUUGUGAAAGUCAAAGGCUCAACCUUUGAAAGCCGAUGGAUACUGCGGAGCUAGAGUACGGAAGAGGCGAGUGGAAUUCCUGGUGUAGCGGUGGAAUGCGCAGAUAUCAGGAGGAACACCAAUAGCGAAGGCAGCUCGCUGGGACGUUACUGACACUGAGGCACGAAAGCGUGGGGAUCAAACAGG